rnacentral:rRNA from 1 species
UACGAAGGGUGCAAGCGUUGUUCGGAAUUAUUGGGCGUAAAGGGUUCGUAGGCGGAAAUUUAAGUCGGGUGUGAAAUCCCAAGGCUCAACCUUGGACGUGCAUUCGAAACUAUUUUUCUUGAAUGUUGGAGAGGGAAAGGGAAUUGCUGGUGUAGGAGUGACAUCCGUAGAGAUCAGCAGGAACACCGGAGGCGAAAGCGCUUCCUGGCCAAACAUUGACGCUGAGGAACGAAAGCGUGGGGAGCAAACAGG